AAAAAUGUGUUGACCUCGAGAUAAGAUUUAAGUUUUUGAUUGCUUUAAAAAUGAACCAGAUUUGUGAAUUAUAUUUUUGUAUUUCAGGUUUGAAAUCAAGAUGACCAGUACAUCUGCAGAUUACAGAAAAAAAUUGAUGCAAAAUGAUCCUGAGAAGUUUGCUGAAUAUCUUCAAUUACAGAAAAUAAAACAAAGGAAAACAUAGAUAAGUUGAAGAAUGUACUGAAAAAGAAGAAACCAGCAGAAUGGGAUAUUUAAAGACACCAACAUAAGUUUCACCUGGCAAUGAUUCGCCAAAAAAAGUACAAGAAAAAGAGGUUAGGAAAAAAAACAGAUCUUGACACAAAUGUGGAAAGCUCCAAUCAAUUGAUUGUAAAAAUAAAAUUAAAGAAAAAGAAAACUGUUAAUACAAGAAAGUCAUUGAGCACAAAGCGUGAUUAUAACAGAUUAAUGAAGAAAAACAGCGAGAGAACAUGUCUUAUCAAAAGAAAAUGUGGAUAAAGAAGAGAUAUAGGGAAAUGACAGUGAGAAAAGGGAACAGCUAAAAUUAGAGAGCAUAGUUAACACCGGCACAAAUACCACUUCUGCAUUCAAAACCAAGAAAACAGAAUGGAAUUUAACAUCCAAAGUACGAAAAACACUGCCUUCAACACCAGCCAAAUGUGCAAAAAUUAUGAAAAAAAAAACAUAGUUACCAGGAGUACACCUAGAAAAAAAGAAAGCCCUAUUAGAUAUUUAAAGAUGUCCAUGAAAGGAACAAAAGUAAGAGUGAAAAACAAGAGGAAUAAACCAAACACAAUGUUAAAGAAAUGCUUGUUUAAACGGAAAAAUAACAUUGAUACUUUAAAAGUUAAACAAUUCUACUAUAGACAAGAUAUAUCUAGGAUUAUGCCACAGAAGACAUAUGCUACAAAACAAGGGCAAGGUUUUUUCUUACAGCUAUCCAUUUAGGCAGCCCAUACCAAAUUU
rnacentral:lncRNA from 1 species